UACGGAGGGUGCGGGCGUUGUUCGGAAUCACUGGGCGUAAAGGGCGCGCAGGCGGUUUGGCAAGUCAGAUGUGAAAUCCCACGGCUUAACUGUGGAAGUGCAUUUGAAACUGCCAGGCUUGAGUACCAGAGGGGAAAGUGGAAUUCCCGGUGUAGAGGUGAAAUUCGUAGAUAUCGGGAGGAAUACCGGUGGCGAAGGCGACUUUCUGGCUGGAUACUGACGCUGAGGCGCGAAAGCGUGGGGAGCAAACAGG
rnacentral:rRNA from 1 species